rnacentral:tRNA from 1 species
GGGCCCGUGGCCUAGCCAGGAUAGGGCGCCGGCCUGCGGAGCCGGAGAUCCCGGGUUCAAAUCCCGGCGGGCCCG